UGGUGGUGAGUGGCCAUGGCUUCACAAUCUUGAAGGUCCUUGACGACUUCGACACAUGGAAGAACUUCAUAAAGGAGAAGGGCUUUGAAUUCUCGUUCAAAGCAUACUACGAGAAGGUGAUUCAGACUAUGAGGCACUGCUGCCGCCUUGACAUCCCGAGCGUUGCUGGAAAGGUCCCGGAGACCAUGAAAUGCCCAGAGUGUCCUCGCACCAUGGAGACAUUCGUGAGCUACAAGUGCUGCCACACUGAUUCUCCCAUCAACGCGCAUCAUUGAAGGGUUUGCUGUUUUGAGUCUACGAGGUCAUCUUAUGACUAUACUACGAGGUUAUGAACUUAUGCGUUGUGUUUGUGUGGUUCGUAGUGUCGUCCUUGGGACUUGAAUAAUGGGCAUUUUCAUUAUUAUGUAAUCUGAUGAUGCCUACCAAUCUGAGUGGUGAGUGUUGUGUGAUGUGUAAGUGUGUCUUACAAUGCAAUUUUAUGUUUUAAGUUUAAUGUUUUCGUAGCACUUUUCGCCCUCGAUCUCAUGGAUAUUUCUUUGAAUUUAUUACAUUGACAUGAUCAAUUGACCUGGUAAA
rnacentral:lncRNA from 1 species